UGGAAGAGAUUUUGUGAGAGUUUGCUAUUGGUUUCAAGGCAUCAAAGAAAGCUUCUCUUGCUGAUUUUACAGUAGAAAAUUAAAGAAGAAAAGUUCUUCCUAAUAAGAGAAAGAGAAGGAAGAAAGAUUUUUUUUCUAAUACGCAGUUUUGGAGAAGAAAGUGUUCUUCUCCUAGAUUUUUUUUUUUUAGUAUGAAAAUUAGAUUGGAUUUGAUUUUUAACAUAAGAAUUUAAAGAAAAAAUAUCAAAAAAAUCUGGUUGGGUGUUUGGGGCUUCCUAGGACUUUCGAUCAAGAAAAAAAGGGAGAAGAAAAGAAAAGAAUGAUUCUUCUCUUGGAUCUCUCUUUUGGGUUCUUCUAGAGCUUCACAUUUUAUAUGAUUUUCUGUAUAAAAAAUCAGAUUAGAUCUAAUUUUUAUCAUGAAAAAUUAGAGAAGAAAAGUUCUUCUUAAAGGUGUGAAAGGAAGAGUGAAAAGUUCUCUCUUAUGUGUGGGAGAAUUGAGAAGAAAGUAUUCUUCUCUUAAUCUCUAUCAUAGAGAUCUGAUACGUGGAUUCAGGAAGAAAAUGUGAGGGUCUUCUUGUUCUUCAUCUUCUUCAUGUUCUUCUUAGACCAGCCAUCAAAAGGUAUCUUCACGAGCUAGC
rnacentral:lncRNA from 1 species